rnacentral:lncRNA from 1 species
GAACAGGAUGGACGUGCACCAGGCGGACAUGCACCUGAGCAGAGAAGCAUCUAGGAUGAUGGGCAGGAAUGUGAAAGGUCAGAGGAUAAAAAGACAAAUGAAUAAAGAGCUUAAACAAAGGUAAUUAAGGAAAGAAGAAUGGCAGAAGGUUAAGAAGAGGAAGGCCUUAGCUUUGGAACAUUCUGAACCAGGUCAGUUCAGCUGCAGCUGAAGCCACGGUGGUGUCAUACAGUGUUCGCAAGACAAAUCUCGCAGAUGCAGAAGGUAAGCCACUUAUUAAGCUUGAUUCAGCCUUGCCACUUUUUUGGGGUUAUUCUCUGAGGUCAACUACACUGGUAUUGGAUAAGCGGUCCAGCAUAUCAGCAAAGUGAAACAUUACAUUAGAAGUGGUUGUGUAUCUAUUUUCUACUUAAUGAAUAAACAUAUACCACUUGCUGAACAAAUUAUAUAUUCCUCUUUUCAGAAAACACCCAUGAUUUAAAAUUAAAAGUUUCACACUUGAGUUUAGGAUGAACGCCUUUUGCGUUUGAAAGCAGUAAAAAUGAGAAUCUUUCUUAGCAAUAGUGCCAUAUCUCAUUAAAAAGAAUAACAGGAAACUCAGUUAUCUCAUGCUUAUUUGCACAUUGAUGUAUUUAUUUCAUGUGUGUCUAUAUAUGCAUAUAUAAAUAAAAAUAGUGUUGUCUCAUGGGAUGAAUAGUCAGUGAAUAUCAUUCACACAUACUGAGAUUGAACGGUUAAAUAUUUUAAAAGAAAAAACAUUUUUAAAAAGAACACACAUAAGAACGUUGGUGAGAAAUGUUUAAAAAUACAGUAUAUAUCCCUACAUUUGUAUCAGGAAAUUCAUACUGACUGAAAAUGUAGCUAAGUAUGUCCUUACAUCAUCAACACUGUCUGUCAACAUAACCACCUUAUAAUAGUCUUAUUCUCAUGCAGCUAAGUCACUGCGACUCAGUAUCGGUCAGUCUCUCAUGAGCAGUACAACUAUCUGUACUGUACUUUUAAAUCCAGUUGUCACGGAAUUGCAAACUGCCUCAGCAUCAGGAACUGC